GUGUUAUCAUACCAUUGUUGCUUUGGCGGGCCCGCCUCGGCCACCGGCUCCGGCUGGUGAGCGCCCGCCAGAGGACCCCAAACUCUGAAAUUUAGUGUCGUCUGAGUACUAUAUAAUAGUUAAAACUUUCAACAACGGAUCUCUUGGUUCUGGCAUCGAUGAAGAACGCAGCGAAAUGCGAUAAGUAAUGUGAAUUGCAGAAUUCAGUGAAUCAUCGAAUCUUUGAACGCACAUUGCGCCCCUUGGUAUUCCGGGGGGCAUGCCUGUUCGAGCGUCAUUACAACCCUCAAGCUCUGCUUGGUAUUGGGCGUCCCCGGCAACGGGGUGCCCUAAAAUCAGUGGCGGUGCCGUCUGGCUCUAAGCGUAGUAAAUCUCUCGCUCUGGACGCCCGGUGGAUGCUCGCCAGUAACCCCCAAUUUUUUACAGGUUGACCUCGGAUCAGGUAGGGAUACCCGCUGA
rnacentral:rRNA from 1 species